rnacentral:rRNA from 1 species
UACGUAGGGUGCAAGCGUUGUCCGGAAUUAUUGGGCGUAAAGAGCUCGUAGGUGGCCUGUCGCGUCGGCUGUGAAAACUCGGGGCUCAACUCCGAGCUUGCAGUCGAUACGGGGCAGGCUAGAGUUCGGCAGGGGGAGACUGGAAUUCCUGGUGUAGCGGUGAAAUGCGCAGAUAUCAGGAGGAACACCGGUGGCGAAGACGGGUCUCUGGGCCGAUACUGACACUGAGGAGCGAAAGCGUGGGGAGCGAACAGG